rnacentral:rRNA from 1 species
UACGUAGGGGGCCAGCGUUGUCCGAAGUUACUGGGCGUAAAGAGCGCGUAGGCGGGUCUUUAAGUGAGGGGUGAAAGGUUCAGGCUCAACCUGGACACUGCCUUUCAUACUGGAGGCCUUGAGUGCGGGAGAGGCGAGUGGAAUUCUUGGUGUAGCGGUGAAAUGCGUAGAUAUCAAGAGGAACACCCAUGGCGAAGGCAGCUCGCUGGCCUGCAACUGACGCUGAGGCGCGAAAGCGUGGGGAGCAAACAGG